CUGACUCAGACCAAUCACUGUGUAUUGACGAUGUCUGGCUCCUACAUGCCAAUGUCUAUGUCAUGAAAUAAUGAGAUUUUUCUGAAAAUGCUGCACCUCAGCAGGAGAGCUGCUUGGAAGUGGCAGCGAGAGCUAAAGACGUGACCCUCCGCAGGAUGGAAAAUGCGCAACGCCUGCUUGAAUGUCAAAAGGCAAAAACACAAACUAACGUGUGAUCGGAGGUGUCGCUCAGAUCUUGCUCUGAGCGGAGCUUCCUGCUGAACGUGUGGAAACCAGGAAUUUCAUUUCAUCAUUUGAGAGCUCCCUUUAUUAAAAUAACGGUAAAUAUUAGUGGUGUGUGUCGGCAAGAGUGUUUGAAUGAGGCUAAGAUGCCAG